rnacentral:rRNA from 1 species
AAUCUUGGACAAUGGGCGCAAGCCUGAUCCAGCCAUGCCGCGUGAGUCGAUGAAGGCCCUAGGGUCGUAAAGCUCUUUCGCCAGGGAUGAUAAUGACAGUACCUGGUAAAGAAACCCCGGCUAACUCCGUGCCAGCAGCCGCGGUAAUACGGAGGGGGUUUAGCGUUGUUCGGAAUUACUGGGCGUAAAGCGCGCGUAGGCGGACUGGAAAGUUGGGGGUGAAAUCCCGGGGCUCAACCCCGGAACUGCCUCCAAAACUCCCAGUCUUGAGUUCGAGAGAGGUGAGUGGAAUUCCGAGUGUAGAGGUGAAAUUCGUAGAUAUUCGGAGGAACACCAGUGGCGAAGGCGGCUCACUGGCUCGAUACUGACGCUGAGGUGCGAAAGUGUGGGGAGCAAACAGGAUUAGAUACCCCUGGUAG